GGAGAAUCGCUUAAACCUGGGAGAUGGAGGUUACAAUCAGCCGUGAUUGUGCCACUGCACUCCAGCCUGGGUGACAGAGUGAGACUCCACCUCAAAAAAAAUAAAAAAGAAAAUAAAAAAUACUAAACCAUGGGUGCAGUGAGAUGGAUGAUGAAAAUUGGCUAACGGGUACAAUGUACGUUAUGAGGCUGAUGGAUACCAUCAAAGCUCAGACUUGACCAUUAUGCAAUCCAUGCAUGUAACAAAAUUGCACACGUACCUCAUAAAUUUGUACCAGAAACCUCUCAAAGACAAAAUAGAAGCCAAAUGGAUUAUACAGAGAAAUUAUCAAAAGUGAUAAAAUUAAUUUUUAGAAUGUACUAAAACAUACUGUUUAUUCUGUCAACAGAAAUCAAGGUAAUAAAUAUCACUGUUUUCUACCCCUUUAGUUUUAAUGGCUCAUACAUAGACUGACAAAAAUAUGUUUCUGUUAAAAAUUGAUCCAAAAAUAUAAACAUAUUUAAAAAGAACAGAAUUACAUGUCAGUGUUUGAAUUAAAGGAUUAGACCUAUUUUAUUUUAUUUUAAAGAAUACAGAAAGCCCUCAUCCUGUUAGUAUGAUAUUCUUUCUUGUUUUAUAUUUAUGGAUACUUGGGAAUUCCUGGCUGUGUUGUCCCAAGACUCUAUUCUACCUAGAAUGCAAUUGAAAUUUUGCUGAGAUGAGUGUCGUGACAGUGGAGGUUAGUGUCUCAGGCACUAUGAGAAUGUUCGCAAAGAUCUUUCUGACUGAGGAACUCUAGGUAUGUCUAGUUAGCAUCUCACCUCUAAAUAAUGUACUAGAUUUCUUUUCCAAUGUCAGCCUCCAGUGUCACCCAUAUAAAGGCACAAAAGAUAUAAGGAGUCAGCACCAGAGAAUUGAGUUUGGGGAAGCAUUGCUUGAUUCCAAAUCAACCUUGGAGAAUAGCCCAGUGGUUGAUUGGUUAGGCUGUGCCCUCACCCAGAUCUCACCUUGAGUUGUAAUGAUCUCCACCUGUCAAGGGUGAGGCCAGGUGGAGAUAAUUGAAUAAUGAGGGCAGCUUCUCCCAUACUGUUCUCCUGGUAGUGAAUAAGUCUCACGAGAUCUGAUGGUUUUGUAAAUGGGAGUUCCCCUGUACAAACCCUCUCUUGCCUGCUGCCAUGUAAGAAGUGACUUGCUUCCCCUGUACUUUCUGCCUUGAUGGUGAGGCCUCCCCAGCCAUGUGGAACUGUGAGUCAAUUAACCUUUUUCCUUUACAAAUUACCGAGUCCUGGGUCUUAAAUUAUCAGGAAUUUUGCAAGCUGGUUGUUAGAUACUUAGUAGUUGAUGGUUAAUGUAGGAGGAAGGCAGACUUAACGCUCGGUGUUUUCCUUUUUACUUCAGACUGGGAAGCUUCCUUGUCCCGGCCCAGGCACCCGUGGAGCAUCCCCUCCAUCAACUGGAUUGCCAUCUCCUUCUGGGUGCCCAUAUUUGAAUCUUUAAUGUAGGGCUACUGCAGUGACGCUGCCAACAAAUGACUUAAGGAGUUUUUGUCAUUUAUUUGGGAUUUUCUACAUGGACAAGCAUGUCAUCUAUAAACAAAGGUAGUACUAUUUCUUUCUUGCCCAACACUCAAUUUUAGUGAAAAACUCUCCGAUUUCUCAACAGUAAGUAUAAUGUGAGUUGUAGUUGUUUAGUUUUUUUUUUUAUUAUUUUAUAAAUGGUGUUUCCCUAAUUUUGUUUUGCUUAUUUGUUUGCAAAUUGAAAAUGUUUCCUUCUAUUUCAAGUUGUUGGGAGUUUUUAUCAUUAAUUAGUUUUGGAUUGUUUUAUUCUUUUACUGUACUAAUUAAUAUGAUCAUCUUAUUUUCCUUUU
rnacentral:lncRNA from 1 species